rnacentral:rRNA from 1 species
AAUGAACGCUGGCGGCAUGCCUAACACAUGCAAGUCGAACGAAGGCUUCGGCCUUAGUGGCGCACGGGUGCGUAACGCGUGGGAAUCUGCCCCUUGGUUCGGAAUAACAGUUAGAAAUGACUGCUAAUACCGGAUGAUGACGUAAGUCCAAAGAUUUAUCGCCGAGGGAUGAGCCCGCGUAGGAUUAGCUAGUUGGUGUGGUAAGAGCGCACCAAGGCGACGAUCCUUAGCUGGUCUGAGAGGAUGAUCAGCCACACUGGGACUGAGACACGGCCCAGACUCCUACGGGAGGCAGCAGUGGGGAAUAUUGGACAAUGGGCGAAAGCCUGAUCCAGCAAUGCCGCGUGAGUGAUGAAGGCCUUAGGGUUGUAAAGCUCUUUUACCCGGGAUGAUAAUGACAGUACCGGGAGAAUAAGCGCCGGCUAACUCCGUG